CUAGUGACGGCGCCACGAACUCAACCUGCCUCACCGGUGGCCAUUACGAUCCCACGAUUGGCUGAGUACACGGUACAACGCGAAUCAGGCGACGGUUUAAAUAUGGAUUUUUUUCUUGGCCACGAAAUCGCGGCGACCGUGUCGUAUAAAUCAGGAUUGAUUUUCAAAGGGAAUCAUGGGAGGUCGAGCCGCAGCCGCGAUGUCCCUUUUAGCCCCGCAUUUGUUUCCGGCGGUAAAUCUAUAUUUGGCUAAUCGAACCGACGCUACUGCACACCGCGCCGUUUCCGCUGCUUUUUCGGAAGCCGCGACCAAAAGAUCGCCGUUUCGACUUUUCACGCUUUCUGUCUUCCGUUAGUCAACAAACUUUUUCAACGUUACGUCGAUUACUCUGGUAUUUGGCAAAUUGUUGUUAAAGAGCAGGAUUAACGAAAGGAGUGUAAUGGAGACAGAAACAUUAGGAACUGCAGUUACGAAUAUUUUGAAUUUGAAUGCCUGAGAUUAUUCUUUACGUGUAAUCCCGAGGAACGUGUAAUCCCCAUGGAAUCGGUAACUGAGCCGCUCUUACGGUCGAUGCACAAACUAGAUCGACGAUACUUAAACGGUAAAGCAUCCUAAUCCUCGUGAAAUGCGCAGAGGCUAAUGAUCACAUGCUUGCAGUGUACAUCACAAUAAACUGGAUAUGGACAAGUAAUGCCUUCAUUGACAGCUUUUCGCUAAAUGUUCCUAGCAGUUCUUUAAGGUAUAUACGUAUUAUAAAUCAACAGUAAAUUUAAAUUGACUACUAUAAAACGUUUACCGUAAUAAUCGAUUCUUUCUUUUAAAUGUUUACAUAAAUUUCGUCCAUGUA
rnacentral:lncRNA from 1 species